CCUGUGCGCGCUGGAGGCCGACGUGCUGUGGUCCCAUGUGGUCAGCCACCCCCUGAGGGGCCGUGGCAGCGCAUCGCACCCCUGCGCGUGCUCAGCUUUGACAUCGAGUGCGCAGGCCGCAAAGGCAUCUUCCCUGAGCCCGAGCGGGACCCCGUGAUCCAGAUCUGCUCCCUGGGCCUGCGCUGGGGCGAGCCGGAGCCCUUCUUGCGCCUCGCACUCACCCUUCGCCCUGUGCCCCCAUCCUGGGUGCCCAGGUGCAGAGCUUCGAGCGGGAAGAGGACCUGCUCCAGGCCUGGUCUGUCUUCGUGCGCACCAUGGACCCUGAUGUGAUCACCGGCUACAACAUUCAGAACUUUGACCUCCCCUACCUCAUCUCUCGCGCCCAGACCCUCAAGGUGAGGCACAGCCAGCGGAGCCCCCUGUGUGGCUCUGUCCACUCACUCUGUGUGCCUGCAGCCCAACAUCCUGGGCCUGCCUCAGCCCUGCCUUUUUUUUGUUGUUUUUUUGUUUUGGUACUGGGGAUCGAGCUUGGGACCUUGUGCAUGCGAGGCAGGCAAUGGAACCACUGAGCUAAACCCCUGGCCUUUUUGUUGUUUUGUUUUUGAGACAGUGUCUUGCUGUGUAGCCCAGGCUGGUCUCAGACUCACAGUGAUCCUCCUGCCUCAGGCUCCCGAGUGCUAGGGUUACAGGCGUGCGCCACCACGCCCCAUUUGGCCUCCUCUUAGGUCCAAAAGGUUACUGGGCUUUGGUCAGAGGCAGGAGGGUGUUGGGAGCUGGGGAGAGGCCACCGGGUGGAGGUGUGGAGUGGAAGUGUGGAGCGGUGGGGAGUCCAGGCCUUGCUCUGCCUGGCAGCGAGGAGUCGGGACAGGAAGGGGAGGCGGAGAGGAAGAUCGUGAGGAGAGGCAGCCGUGCUGUGGAGUCCCCACUGCUGCGGCAGAACCCAGGCCGAGGCUCGAAGGAAUGGGCUGUGGCCCUGGGCUGGAGGUCAAGGCCAGGGCUGCUUCCCUUCUUUGGCUGGGAGGAAGGGUCUGGCUUGGCCUUUCCUGGGCUGUGGUGGCCGCCAUCCCCCACUUCCCUGCUUGUCUCCAAGUCCCAGUUUGCCCUGUCUCUAAGUGCCUCAAGGUUAAGGCCCCUGAGGGGCCACGCCUCAGCUGCCCCACAGAGCCUUGCCCCCAGGUGAGCUCGCACUCUGAGGCACUGGAAGUCGGGUCCUCAGCCUCUUUUGGGGAAGGAACGCAAUUCGACCCAUAGUGGGUGUAUUGUAUUACUCUCCUGGUUUUCUCUGUGCUUGGCCAGAGUGGUCAUCGAAAAGAACAGCAUAAGCUGGGCAUGGUGGUGCACACCUGCGAUCCCAGCACUCCGGAAGGCUGAGGCAGGCACAGCCUGAGCCGUUUAGUGAGACCCUGUCUCGAAAUAAAAAUGGCUGGGGAUGCAGCUCAGCGUGAAGUCCCUGGGUUCCGUCCCCAGUACUCCAACUGCAACGAACAGAACAAAACAAACUUUCGGCCCCCAACAGCACCAGCGAGAAGCCCAGCCCUCACACUGGGAUGAGUAGGCCCGGCCACCACACGCCCAGAAUGCAGUGCCCCCUCAGCCCUGCCUGUCUCUCCUCUAGUCCAUGUGCCACCAGCCUAAAAGGAGCCCUCUGCGCCCUGGGGACAUCCGUGCCCUGGCUCCCCCUGCCUGAGCCCCAGCUGCAGCCUUGUCCU
rnacentral:lncRNA from 1 species